UUUGUUUGUGGCAGGCGGUUAUCGCGCGGCGCUCAGGCCGCCGCGCUCGCGAACACGUAGUUCGUCAUCGCAAGCACGC
rnacentral:tRNA from 1 species